rnacentral:rRNA from 1 species
AACGAACGCUGGCGGCAUGCCUAACACAUGCAAGUCGAACGAGACCUUCGGGCCUAGUGGCGCACGGGUGCGUAACGCGUGGGAACCUGCCCUUAGGUUCGGAAUAACUCCCCGAAAGGGGUGCUAAUACCGGAUAAUGUCUUCGGACCAAAGAUUUAUCGCCUUUGGAUGGGCCCGCGUUGGAUUAGCUAGUUGGUAGGGUAAAAGCCUACCAAGGCGACGAUCCAUAGCUGGUCUGAGAGGAUGAUCAGCCACACUGGGACUGAGACACGGCCCAGACUCCUACAGGAGGCAGCAGUGGGGAAUAUUGGACUGUCGGCGGAAGCCUGAUCCAGCAAUGCCGCGUGAGUGAUGAAGGCCUUAGGGUUGUAAAGCUCUUUUACCCGGGAUGAUAAUGACGGUACCGGGAGAAUAAGCUCCGGCUAACUCCGUG